UGACGCGGGAGUCGCGGGCUCUGAAGUCGCCGCAUUUGGCUUGAGGAUCCCGAGGUGUUGGGGGCACAUAAAUCAAGAUACUACGCGAGAGAUCGGUGUUUGCAGGGAGGAGCCUGUCCGCCAUUGGUGCCUCGGGGAGUCCGCCCUGCUGGGGCACAGCGACAGCUCUUGUCCCCUCUGUUUCCUCUGAACACGUUAAUUUUAUUUCUUUUUUUUUUUUUUUUUUUUGUUCUGCUGUAAAGAACACCGCUUCUCACCUUUGUUAGGCAGAUGUAGAGAGAGAUAACGGAGGAGUGCCCAGCUGAAGUCUUGCUUGGAAACAAGAAGAGAAAGGCGAGACUGCUAUCAAACGGUACAAGACUUUUGCACAAUUUUCAGCCCUGUCAGAGAUGGACACACUGUGACUGGAUGGGGGCUACCACGAUCCAUGCUGAUUUCCGGCUUCCACCUAGAGAAGUACUAGCUCUGGCCUUCAGCACACAGUUGUAAGUAGAGCCUGGAAGCAGAUGCACACCCAAGAAGAAAUCCUGCUGUUCCCUGAGGCAAUCAGACCCAUGGGGAGCAGCCACUCCAAGUGCCAGGUGCAUCAGAUUAGUCCAGGUGAGUGAGAAUGAAAACUAGGACUGAGCUGACCAAGCCUCAGUCUGGCAGCAAUUUAGGGGCACGUUGGGGUGUGAAAUGUGUGAUUCUCCUUCAUAUUGUGGGUCUAACAACCAGUCCUACUGAUGGGCCUGUCUUCAGUAUCCUGGAAGGUGGCCUGUGCAGAGACUGACAGCUCAGAGUCUCCCUGUAAGUAGGGUGCACCAAGCUUUAAUUUUACUUAUGUUGUAAUUAACGGAUUUGUCAUGCAACUUUCAAAAAUAUUUGUUUUCCUCCAUGAAAUUAGACAAAUUCUAGCAAUAUUUAGUCAUGUUGAUUGUCACUCUAGGCAAAAAUCCAUCUCUAUUUUUAGCUGAACUUGUGCAUUUCAUGUGAUAAUGCUCUGGGAACACUUCUAUUUCCCUAGGAAGAUGAUGCAAAAAAAGAUGAUUGCUUUCUCUCACAAGUGUCUCACCUAAAUGAAGUAGCACAUUUAUUACAGGCUUUUGCUUUAGGAGGUGAAGCAAAUCUGUAUCUCCAGUUUUCAAUAUAUCUAUCAAGAUACUUUUAGCUAAUUUAAAAAACAUACCACAGAGGCUUAAAUUUUGAAACUCACACUAUUUCAACAGCCUAUUCAAAGGGAUGGUUGUCUUUUGGGAAGGAUAAGAGUGUUAGAAGGAAUGUCAGGAUGAGAGAUUGAAAGCUGAUGCAGAAGGGAAUAGGAGUGCUAAAAUCUCCUGACACUCCUAGAGUGGGCAAAGGAGUAGAGUCUCUCACUCAUUCCUGCCAUCACUCAACCUGUUCCUUCACUCAAAAUGUGCCAUGACUGCCUUCCCACAUCAUGGGAGACAGCUCUGGGCUCUUCCAAUUCAUGCUGCCUGAUCAGGAAAACAUUUUGCUCUUCUCGUACUGUUUUGAUUAAUAGGGACAGCUCAUUGUAAAAAUAAUAAUAAAAAAAAUUAUUAUUAAUUUGUAGUCCAUAUACUCACUUCUUGCUUUUGAGUAACAAAACAAUCCAUGCAGAUGAACCACCAGGAGUAAAGGAUGAACCCUGUCCAUAAAAUAUGAGACUGGCAAUAAAAUAAAAGAUGUCAUAUUAGGAAAUGAAGUGUUACUCCAGAAUUGAGUGAAUUUGAAUUGCUUAGAACUCCUCCUUUCUUUUCCAUAACCUUGAAAGGUUCAAGUUCCUGUAAACAGGUUUUUUGCUUUUCCUUCAGGUUUAAUUUUGUUUCUUUUUCAGGAAUGUCCUAAUACUUCAAUAACACACACACUGUUACUUUGUACCUACAGCUGCCAGUGAAAAGCUUAGACAGAUACUAGACACACACAUUAUGCUAAAAUAGAACCAAGAAAAUUAAACUGCCUGGUGUGGAAAAGAUAAAUUUGGGUAAGCAUUACUUGACUUGAACAGUCAUGAAAUAUAGAAUAUUUCCUCAAAUAACACAAACACACUGUAAUGCACCAAUCUAGUCUACGUACCUGUACAUUGUUGUCAUAUCUACAAGGAUUCUGUGUAAUACUGGUCAUAAUAAAAAUUCAUUCAUUAAAUAAUCUGUGGGGUUUUUUUCUUUGAAAUUAAACUAUUG